GUGCUCACUUCGGCAGCACACAUACUAAAAUUGGAACGAUAUAGAGAAGAUUAGCAAGGCGCUGGCACAGGAUGACACAAAUUUGUGAAGUGUUCCAUAUUUUU
ensembl:snRNA U6 U6 spliceosomal RNA